UACGGAGGGGGCAAGUGUUGUUCGGAAUUACUGGGCGUAAAGGGCGCGCAGGCGGCUUGGCAAGUCGAGGGUGAAAUACCUCAGCUUAACUGAGGAAUGGCGCUCGAAACUACCUCGCUUGAGGGCGGGAGAGGGAAGUGGAACUCUCGGUGUAGGGGUGAAAUCUGUAGAUAUCGAGAGGAACACCGGUGGCGAAGGCGGCUUCCUGGCCCGUACCUGACGCUGAGGCGCGAAAGCGUGGGGAGCAAACAGG
rnacentral:rRNA from 1 species